CUCUGCUCCUGCAGUUCCUCAGCUCUGCUCCUGCAGCUCCUCAGCUCUGCUCCUGAAGCUCUUUACCUCUGCUCAUCAGCCCUACUCCUCAGCUCUGCUCCUGCAGCUUCUCAGCUGUUCAGCUCUGCUCCUGCAGCUCUUCAGCUCUACUCCUGCAACUCAUCAGCUCUGCUCCUGCAGCUCUUCAGCUCUGCUCCUGCAGCUCUUCAGCUCUGCUCCGUCAGCUCCUCAGCUCUGCUCCUGCAGCUCAUCAGCCCUGCUCCGUCAGCUCCUCAGCUCUGCUCCUGCAGCUCUUCAGCUCUUCUCCUCAGCUCUUUAGCUCUGCUCCUGCAGUUCCUCAGCUGUGCUCCUGCACCUCUUCAGCUCUGCUCCUGCAGCUCCUCAUCGCUGCUCCUGCAGCUCUUUAGCUCUGCUCCUGCACCUCCUCAGCUCUGCUCCUGCAUCUCUUCAGCUCUGCUACUCAGCUCUUUAGCUCUGCUCCUGCAGAUCCUCUGCUGUGCUCCUCAGCUCCUCAGCUCUUCAGCUCUUUUCCUAAGCUCCCUAACUGUGCUCCUCAGCUCCUCAUCUCUGCUCCUCAUCUCUGCUCCUCAGCUCUGCUCCUGCAGCUCUUCAGCUCUGCUACUCAGCUCUUUAGCUCUGCUCCUGCAGAUCCUCUGCUGUGCUCCUCAGCUCCUCAUCUCUGCUCCUCAUCUCUGCUCCUCCGCUCUGCUCCUGCAGCUCUUCAGCUCUGCUCCUCAGCUCUUUAGCUCUGCUCCUGCAGCUCCUCGGCUCUGCUCCUGCAGUUCUUCAGCUUUGCUCCUCAGCUCUGCUCCUGCAGUUCUUCAGCUCUGCUCCUCAGCUCUACUCCUGCAGUUCUUCAGCUUUGCUCCUCAGCUCUACUUCUGCCCCUGUAGGUGUAGAUGUGUGACAUUGUGUUGGCUCAGCCGUGGAACAGGAGCAGCUGCAUUGAUUGAUUUCACUCCUCGUAGCUCCGCUCCGACCCCGCUUCAUCAAAUUGGCGUGACCUAUUGCUACUGGCGUCACGCACAGCAGCCCCACACGUAUAAAUAG
rnacentral:lncRNA from 1 species